CAGCAUGAGCAAUUUUGUUCCAAUGAGAAUGAAGACUGAGUUUUUUUUUUCCUCUAACAUUUUGGACAUCUUUGCUUAAUGGAGGGAAAUAAGUGAUAUUAUGUCUGUGAAGCUAGGAGUUUUUAGUUUUUUAGCCCACACUCAAAUGAAAAAUAGCUAGAAACAUCAUAUCUUAUCUCCAUAGGCACCUUCCUCUUAGGAAAAUGGGGGGAAAAGCCGGCAGCACACUGGAUUACAGAAUUUUAUGGUGGAUACCUAGCUUGAUGACUGUCUUUGUAAGAACCUGGGGACAGGAGUAGGAGAAUAUCCAACGUGUAUCACUUGGGAAAUUACUGCAAGGUGAAACAGGAAGCUGCCUGAUAUGGCUGAUCAAAAAUAACAUCAGGACCUUAACUCUGUCUUGAGCUCUUGGUGGACUGGCAGUUACAGUCAGGAUCAUGCAUCCGUUUAGACUGAAAAAGGUGCAGCCCAGAUGCUCAAGCUGCCUCUGCGGUGGAUAUUAGCAACACUGGGACACGUGCAAUAUUUUGGAUACCAGUUGUCUUGAGUGCUCUAGUCAGAAGUGAACUAAUCUCUGAUAUAUCAUUUAAAUGCAUCCUGUACAGAGUGUUUGAGCGCCAUUGUAGAGAGGUGACCUAAGUUAUUUAAACACUUGCUGGAAAUCCCUAGAGAUUAUUUAAUAGACAUAGUAACAUCACCAUGAUAUGAAUGGAGGCAUGUAGUUACCAUUAAUAAUAAUGAUCAUUGUAUCCUGUAAGCUAAUGGAAACUUCUUGAAUCAUCUCUGAGGAAUGAAUGCCAUGUCUCAUAAUGUUCUAUAUUAUAAAGCUAGCCCCAAUGUUAUUUCAACCUAUUACCAAACUCGAAUGAAUUCCACUAUAAAUAUCUUCUGUACAACAUAUUUCUGGGUAUGACAUGCAAAUUGUGUGCCUCCUCUGGGUAGUCAGGAAGGGGGAGUACUAUGUGCAGUAUAUCUCAGAUGCAAGGCACAACAGAAAUUUUCUUGUGAACAAAAUGCAGAGCAAACAAAAAUACCCGUGAUGUCCUCACAUGCAAACUGUCAUUCUUUCAAAUGAGAGCACUUUCUUGCUUUGGUAAUGAGAAUAAUAAAAAUAGGUGUUAAUGCAGGCUUGAGACAGAGUAUUUCGUCUGAGAAUGGUAUCAAAUAUCUGUCAUUGGAAAUGCUUUGAAAAUAUCUGUGCACUCUGAAUUUCAGAUGCACUUUUUCUUGGGCCAGUGAGCUUCUGCAACAACCCCUAUAGUGCAUGUCGCCAAACUAUGCAGAGCACCAGGUGGAAUUUUUGAACAAUAUAACAUUCACUGUAGGUGUCUAAUUUAAAGUCUGAUGUGGAUGUCAUGCCAAGAUCACAGGCUUCUGGGAGCACUUUUUCCUCUAGAUCCAUAAAGUCAGAGUUCAGGAAGCAGUAAGUACAGUAGACAUUAAAUAAGUGACAGCAAGAGCAAUUAGAGGCGCCCAUGAGAAAAGCAUUGUUAUAAAUGUUGUUUAAAAUAAAGUAACACGGAACCGUAUCUUGCACAUUGUGCAAAGCACAUUUCAUUACCCAGAGAAGCAAGGAACUCUUCCAGCAGCAGCUUCUGCCCAUCUUUCCACAGCUUUCUGAGUCAACAGCCACUUUAGUCUAGUGUAUCUACCUGGGGUACCUGGGGUCUUUCUGUGUGCUCCUCACCAGUCUGAGUCCUGUGGUGAGAUUCUCUGAGUCGGUAAUUGCAGGAGCUAUGCCUAUACCCAUAUAGAGCUCCUGUUAAUGUUAAGGUGUCUCAAAACACCCAUGUGCAUGGUUAAGCCAGGAGACUCUAUCACUCAACAGUUGUUCUUUUGCAAGACUUUUAAGGAAGGCCAUGUAUUACCAGGUCUCAAAAGAUGAAAAGUUACUCUGCACAACUUGCCUUUGAGCCUGUCUUCAUAGAUUAAAUUAAUCAUUUUGUCUUCGGAGGAGGAGCCCUGCCCUACCCUAUUUUUUCAUGCUGCAGUCUUGCAACUCAUUGGGCUAACAAGUGCAGCCUCAGACCCAAAGUCUCCCUUGGGCUAAGGCUGCUUUGCACACAAAACUGUCAUGUCUGCCACUCUGUCUCACACACAUGCACAUGCUCUCUGCAGUAUGUGGGCGAAGAUUUCCUCACUCUUUAGCAUCACCAGCAGGCAGCCUAGUUUAGAGUAGCCUUGUAACCGGCCAGACUGACAUCAAGGCACCAGCCCAGCUCAAGAGCUGUCCUAGGAUCACCCUCUUCUGAGUUGCGCUGUUUUCCUCAGCCUUGGCUAAGAACCUGUGUCAUGGCAUCUGCAAGCAGCAGAGUGCCUACUGUUACGUCUCAGCUCUGUGUUCUUGGGCAACCCUGGCACAGGAUGCAGUCUGUCUGACUCACAAAGAAUUCCCCCUCCCUCCCCUCCUCUACAUAAAUGAAACUGAUUAAGAUGCA